AUGGCGGAGGGAGGCUUGGAGAACUUUGAGAAGAGGUUGAUGGAUAGAGGAAAGGUUUUAUGGAUUCUGAACGUGAGCGGAAAGGUGAUUGUCUCAGCGAACGGAAAUUAUGAACUGGUUUGUGAGAUGGCUAUGGAAGUAAGGUAUGGUGUUGAAGGCGUCCGCAGUUUGGAUUGUUAUUUCUGCCGGUUAUGUUAUUUAGAUGAUGCAGGCCUAUGUGCAGCAGCAGGUUGUGACAGGUUUUUUGACUUGAAGCAAGUUUGGAUUAUUUUGCACAAGGUUUUGGAAAUUGGCUAG